rnacentral:rRNA from 1 species
GACGAACGCUGGCGGCGUGCCUAAUACAUGCAAGUAGAACGCUGAAGAGAGGAGCUUGCUCUUCUUGGAUGAGUUGCGAACGGGUGAGUAACGCGUAGGUAACCUGCCUUGUAGCGGGGGAUAACUAUUGGAAACGAUAGCUAAUACCGCAUAACAAUGGAUGACCCAUGUCAUUUAUUUGAAAGGGGCAAAUGCUCCACUACGAGAUGGACCUGCGUUGUAUUAGCUAGUAGGUGAGGUAACGGCUCACCUAGGCGACGAUACAUAGCCGACCUGAGAGGGUGAUCGGCCACACUGGGACUGAGACACGGCCCAGACUCCUACGGGAGGCAGCAGUAGGGAAUCUUCGGCAAUGGGGGCAACCCUGACCGAGCAACGCCGCGUGAGUGAAGAAGGUUUUCGGAUCGUAAAGCUCUGUUGUAAGUCAAGAACGAGUGUGAGAGUGGAAAGUUCACACUGUGACGGUAGCUUACCAGAAAGGGACGGCUAACUACGUGCCAGCAGCCGCGGUAAUACGUAGGUCCCGAGCGUUGUCCGGAUUUAUUGGGCGUAAAGCGAGCGCAGGCGGUUUGAUAAGUCUGAAGUUAAAGGCUGUGGCUCAACCAUAGUUCGCUUUGGAAACUGUCAAACUUGAGUGCAGAAGGGGAGAGUGGAAUUCCAUGUGUAGCGGUGAAAUGCGUAGAUAUAUGGAGGAACACCGGUGGCGAAAGCGGCUCUCUGGUCUGUAACUGACGCUGAGGCUCGAAAGCGUGGGGAGCGAACAGGAUUAGAUACCCUGGUAGUCCACGCCGUAAACGAUGAGUGCUAGGUGUUGGAUCCUUUCCGGGAUUCAGUGCCGCAGCUAACGCAUUAAGCACUCCGCCUGGGGAGUACGACCGCAAGGUUGAAACUCAAAGGAAUUGACGGGGGCCCGCACAAGCGGUGGAGCAUGUGGUUUAAUUCGAAGCAACGCGAAGAACCUUACCAGGUCUUGACAUCCCGAUGCUAUUUCUAGAGAUAGAAAGUUACUUCGGUACAUCGGUGACAGGUGGUGCAUGGUUGUCGUCAGCUCGUGUCGUGAGAUGUUGGGUUAAGUCCCGCAACGAGCGCAACCCCUAUUGUUAGUUGCCAUCAUUCAGUUGGGCACUCUAGCGAGACUGCCGGUAAUAAACCGGAGGAAGGUGGGGAUGACGUCAAAUCAUCAUGCCCCUUAUGACCUGGGCUACACACGUGCUACAAUGGUUGGUACAACGAGUUGCGAGUCGGUGACGGCAAGCUAAUCUCUUAAAGCCAAUCUCAGUUCGGAUUGUAGGCUGCAACUCGCCUACAUGAAGUCGGAAUCGCUAGUAAUCGCGGAUCAGCACGCCGCGGUGAAUACGUUCCCGGGCCU